rnacentral:rRNA from 1 species
CUUUACUGUAACUUGAAAUUGAAAUUGGACUUUACUUGCGCAGUAUAGGUGGGAGGCGUUGAGUUUAUUCUUGCGGGAAUUUAGGAGCCAUCAGUGAGAUACCACUCUGGUAAUGUUAGAUUUCUAACUUUGUAUCAUAAUCUGGUCAAAGGACAGUUUCAGGCGGGCAGUUUGACUGGGGCGGUCGCCUCCUAAAUGGUAACGGAGGCGUACAAAGGUUUCCUCUGAACGUGUAGAAAUCGUAUCUAGAGUAUAAAGGCAUAAGGAAGCUUGACUGUGAGACUUACAAGUCGAGCAGGGACGAAAGUCGGUCUUAGUGAUCUGACGGUGCUGAGUGGAAAGGCCGUCACUCAACGGAUAAAAGUUA